rnacentral:rRNA from 1 species
GACGAACGCUGGCGGCGUGCUUAACACAUGCAAGUCGAACGGAAAGGCCCUGCUUUUGUGGGGUGCUCGAGUGGCGAACGGGUGAGUAACACGUGAGUAACCUGCCCUUGACUUUGGGAUAACUUCAGGAAACUGGGGCUAAUACCGGAUAGGAGCUCCUGCUGCAUGGUGGGGGUUGGAAAGUUUCGGCGGUUGGGGAUGGACUCGCGCCUUAUCAGCAUGUUGGUGGGGUAGUGGCUUACCAAGGCUUUGACGGGUAGCCGGCAUGAGAGGGUGACCGGACACAUUGGGACUGAGAUACGGCCCAGACUCCGACGGGAGGCAGCAGUGGGGAAUAUUGCACAAUGGGCGGAAGCCUGAUGCAGCAACGCCGAGUGCGGGAUGACGGCCUUCGGGUUGUAAACCGCUUUCGCCUGUGACGAAGCGUGAGUGACGGUAAUGGGUAAAGAAGCACCGGCUAACUACGUG